UUGGCGUUGCGAUGAUUAUAAAAAUUCCUCGUACAGAAUGUUAAAUUGCAUGAUAGACUCCAUAUACCCAUAGAAUAUGAGCUUCC